GGCCGACUUCGACGUUGGUGCCAUAUCCUACGCCGGAGUCCACGGUUCGUCUGUGCACUCGGCUGCUCCCUGCACUAGGCCCAUUUGAGGCUGUUAACUGGUCACACACCUGUGAUGACCGGAGUGACCACCUUAGAAGAGAGGCCAGCAUCACUGUGUGCCUGCCACCUGCCCGGACCGGCGUCGCUCUACACUCGCCGAGGUGCCGUCAUCGUUUCUUCGGUCGCUGCCCGUGCGGCUGGUGACUCGAUCCUGCCGGCGCUUCCUACUGUCACUUGCCGAGUUAAGCAUGCACCUCUGUCCGGAGCCGGUCUGCACCGACGGGUACCGACCUCUGUGAGGUGAUGUUUUCACUGCUGUACGACGUGUAAUGAACGCAUUAGCUGUCACUCUGUCACAGCUUCUACGACUUUUCGAUAGCUGUCCAUCUGUGUCCAUGCACCUGCAGCCUGACCAGAAAUCCUGCAUUGUCACCGACAUGUGAGCUGUCACGACACCGCAUUAAUAUUUGUUACUCACUGUAGCUGCAGUGCUCACUAGUUAAUCCUAUAAGAAAAUGAGGGUCCACAAAAUUAGACAAAACCCCUAAUCUUCAGGUCAACACAGUGAGAGAUACUUAAAAAUGCAAAGCAUGCUGUACUGACCAUCCAGACUAGUUGGUUUACACAAUCAUUACUUUUUGACUUAUUAUCAAACUAGACCCUUAGAAAUUUUGCACUCAUUAUUUGUUUGUGUGUGACUGUUAAUAUUUCUCAACUGAAAAGUCAUUCGUGGUUAGUAAAACGAGUGAACUUGAAGUGAACUGUGCAAUUUACAGCCACAACACUUGGAGUAAAAAAACUUUCCCUGUCUUGGUUUCUGAAUGGUGUUUUAUAUUUUGAUGCAAAAGUAUAGAACAUCUGAUAAUGGCAGACAGGAAAUCAAAAUUUCCAGAUUUUUAAAACCAAAGUUAAAAAGUGUCUCAUCAACCAUUCCUGCAAUUUAUCUCCAUAUAUGCACUUGAAGAUGUAAAUUUUGAAUAUCUGUUUGCACUGGACAUUUCUAGACUUUUCCAGUAGGGCUAUAUAGUGAGCCAAUAGUAGUCCGUCUAAAGUUACAACGGUGUUUGAAUGCAGCUGGGUGGUAGUGGAAGAGCAGUGCCUUUUUUUUACCCAAAUUGAUUCCUUUAUUCUCCUGAUGCAAGCAGACAUUUGUAAAGUAAUUUCUGUGAUUGUGGGUAGGUUAUCACCAGUCAUAAUUUGUUGUUAGUAUCCUUUACAGAAGUAGCUUACUGCAGCUGUUACUCCCCACUAAUAAUUUGACUUACUGCAGAACCUGUAAUGCUUCUCACAAUGGAUUUACAAAGCACAACAUGUGAAUGAAUAUUAGUCUAUGUGACAUUAGAACUUAAAGAAUGUCUUUCAAUUUCAGAGAAGCCUAUAAGCAACAUUAUUUAUUACGAAACGAGUUUAACAUGUCGACUGCAGUGCAUCCCCUGGUGGCGCAGCAGAGGUGCCUGCUGUGGCCACUGGCGGCCACACGGUAGUUAACGUGUUAAUUCUCACACAGCUUGUCCGAUAUAAUUGUUUUCUUUCUUUCAGAAAUGAAUGUUCCAUCAAUCAACCAGCUAUUACUGAGAAUUACAUAUUUCAGUUCUGGUGAUUGCCUUCUGUCCGUUGGGGACUGCUGACAGGACUAUUGUAUACCUUGGCAUACAUUGAGGACUUUGCUGGAACACAGGAGUCUGUAGUGCCAUAGAUUGCAUACAACUUUGACCAGCCGCAAAGUAUCUCGGGCAAAUAGUUUUGGGACCUGGACCGCUUAGCGCUCAUUUCAGACGAGCUGUUUCUGUAGACGGUGACUAGAUAAAAUUAAUGACAUGCACAAAAAUACACAGCAUGGAUGGGAACCAGGGAAUAAAAUGCUGUCAUAUGGUGCACCUCCUAUUACUACCAUAGUUGGUGUGUUCCUCAGUUAGCUAUCUGGGAUUUAUCCGCUGAUUGUGCAGCUGACCCUAAGUGCAGGUGAGCAGUGCAAAAGGUGAUGGAGAAACAUCUGAGAUCAUUUUAGGAGAUACGGAAACUAGAAAGGUCUGCGACAAGUGGAUCAGUAGCCACGAAGAAAAGAGCUGUGUACCGGGACAGGCUUCAAUUCCUUAAUAGCAUGGAGGUUGAAAGGAAAAUGUUUUCCUAACAGUGUGCUACAGGAACUCGUUAAGGAAAGACUUGAAGAUCGACAGACUUCUUCCAAAUUUAUCGACUGAGGACGAAACUGGUUUGUUCCUCAAAUCCAUGGCAGCAACAGUAAAAAAAUUUAGACCCAACCUUAUUUGCAAAGCCAAAAAACAGAUUUGAAAUACUGUGAUGGACAUAUAAACCAUAAAUCAGAGAGAUCAAGGAUAUGGCAACAACUCCACAUUUUGGAACGCAAACAGCAGCCAUCCUGCUUCCAUCCAAAGUGCUGACAGUGAGCAAGGACCUAGGAACUAUGACAAUACUGUUACUGCUGCAAACUUUGAUACCUAUAGUAAGUGAAACAUGCUUUCGACAUUAGUAUUAUUUUCUUCAAACUACAGAGCCAAUAUUUUUGUCCAAUUCUCAGUCCCAUUUGCUGCCGUCAGAAACAGUAUAAACCACACGUAUAUAUGUAAUAGAAGUUCUGCAAAUUAGCAUUUAUUCUACUGGAACAAUUGCAAGGCAGUGCAAAGCGUAUUGUAACAAUCGAUUGUACUGAAAUAGUGGCACAGCCGGAGAUAUAACAGUCAUUACUACAUUCCGUAGCCUAACAACUUACAUUAAAAUUUCUUAUGAU